ensembl:lncRNA DANT2 DXZ4 associated non-coding transcript 2, distal
UCCUCUGACCUUCAGCUUCCACCCCCUCUGGGGAACAGGAGACACAGAAGAUGGAGGGAGGGAUGGCAGCCUACCCUGUGGCAACGCGGGAGUCGCGUUGCCGCAGGGGGCGCAUUGGGGUCCAGCCGUCCCCAGAACGCAGAUCAGAGGUAGUCGGACCUUUCCCGCUGGCGCGCAGCCUCAGCUAGGUAGGUCUCCUUCCUUCGUCUUUCCUUUCUUUGCCUUUCCUUUCCCUGACGCUGGGGGAAGUAGGGCAGGGGUUCUGUGCCAUAGGCGGCCUUUCUGGUGCAGAGGACCUUCCCCAUCCUCCAUCAUGUGAGCAGCCAGAGCCGGGCGCUCGAACUUGCGCAAUGGUGGCUGCCGCACCACCGGCUCGGGCGUCAGGCAGUUAUCUGGGAGUCCCCGAGGGCCGAGUCGGGGCCAUGUGGGCGGGUCGGGGUCUUGCGUUUUUGGAGCACUGAGUUUUUAACCCCUGCCUACGUUUUCAGUUCUGGCAAGUGUAGGGAGAGCCUCCUAGCAGAGUCCCUCUAGCCUUCCUCGUCGGUUGGCCUGGAAGCGUUUCUGUGUGGCCAAAGGGCGGGGCGAACAGGAGGAGAAGGGUGCGCACACGGAUUCCUUCACCCACUCGAGUUCUCCCCACCUACGUGGCUGGAGGAGGGUGCGCGUGCUCUGUGGGUUUGGACUGAGUGGUGGUUAAACCUCAUGGCCGCCGUGCGUGCUCACAAGUGCUGGGCUCCCUUGAAUGUACCCCUAAAGAGGGUACAUUUCCUCGGAUGAAAUUUUGGCCUAAAAGCAAUACAGCUCCCUUUCUACGUACGCAUUUAAAGACAUGGAAAGAGACCCCCCCCCCCAGAUUUUCAGGGGCUCGCUCACAUUUUCAUCUUUUUUCAGUUCUGUGAAAUGGGAGGAUCUGAAACGGCCAUGAUUAUUAAGAAAAAGAAAGAAUGAAGCUUCUUAAAUAAGUAUCAAAAAUUACAAAAGAUAGUGGUAAUAAUACAAAAUAUAAGCUCAACAAAUUAUAUGUAGACAAAAAAAGUCCAAAA